ensembl:snRNA U6 U6 spliceosomal RNA
GUGCUCUCUUCGGAAGCACACACACUAAAGCUGGAACGGUACAGAGAAGAUUAGCAUGGCCCCUGUGCAAGGAUGACACGCAAAUUCAUGAAGCAUUCCAUAUUUAU